rnacentral:rRNA from 1 species
AACGAACGCUGGCGGCAUGCCUAACACAUGCAAGUCGAACGAGACCUUCGGGUCUAGUGGCGCACGGGUGCGUAACGCGUGGGAACCUGCCCUUAGGUUCGGAAUAACUCCCCGAAAGGGGUGCUAAUACCGGAUAAUGUCUUCGGACCAAAGAUUUAUCGCCUUUGGGUGGGCCCGCGUUGGAUUAGCUAGUUGGUAGGGUAAAAGCCUACCAAGGCGACGAUCCAUAGCUGGUCUGAGAGGAUGAUCAGCCACACUGGGACUGAGACACGGCCCAGACUCCUACGGGAGGCAGCAGUGGGGAAUAUUGGACAAUGGGCGAAAGCCUGAUCCAGCAAUGCCGCGUGAGUGAUGAAGGCCUUAGGGUUGUAAAGCUCUUUUACGCGGGAUGAUAAUGACAGUACCGGGAGAAUAAGCUCCGGCUAACUCCGUG